rnacentral:rRNA from 1 species
AGCAGCCGCGGUAAUUCCAGCUCCAAUAGCGUAUAUUAAAGUUGUUGCAGUUAAAAAGCUCGUAGUUGAAUUUCGGGAUUGGCGCAUCGGUCGUGCCUUACGGGGUAUGAACUGGUGCAGUCAAUUUCUCACCUUCUGGAGAACCGCGAUGUCCUUAAUUGGGCGCCGCGGGGAACCAGGACCUUUACUUUGAAAAAAUUAGAGUGUUUAAAGCAGGCAUUUUUGCUUGAAUACAUUAGCAUGGAAUAAUAAAAUAGGACGGCAUGGUUCUAUUUUGUUGGUUUCUAGGACCACCGUAAUGAUUAAUAGGGAUAGUUGGGGGCAUUAGUAUUCAAUUGUCAGAGGUGAAAUUCUUGGAUUUAUUGAAGACUAACUACUGCGAAAGCAUUUUGCCAAGGAUGUUUUCAUUAAUCAAGAACGAAAGUUAGGGGAUCGAAGACGAUCAGAUACCGCCGUAGUCUUAACCAUAAACUAUGCCGACUAGGAAUCAGACGAUGUUAAUUUUUUAAUGACUCGUUUG